AGGACACCUCCCAGCCAAGACAGGUGAUGAGCACAAGAGUACUGUGGCACUGGGCAGCAGAUAAAAUUCUCCUAUAAAGUAUCAAGAAGAGCUCUGCUAUAAGCAUGAUGUGCACCUUGUAGAAAAUAGUUGUGUUUUCCCCUGCCCUCGAUUGAUGCUCAUGGACUUCUUUUUGGUCUAUCUUAGUGUGAUAUCUUGAUACAAGUGUGAAUAAUAAAUUCAGUUUGUGUA